rnacentral:rRNA from 1 species
GAACUCCUACGGGACGCAGCAGUGGGGGAUAUUGCACAAUGGGGGAAACCCUGAUGCAGCGACGCCGCGUGAGUGAAGAAGUAAUUCGUUACGUAAAGCUCUAUCAGCAGGGAAGAAAAUGACGGUACCUGACUAAGAAGCCCCGGCUAACUACGUGCCAGCAGCCGCGGUCAUACGUAGGGGGCAAGCGUUAUCCGGAAUUACUGGGUGUAAAGGGAGCGCAGACGGCAGUGCAAGUCUGGAGUGGAAGCUCGUGGCUU